UACGUAGGUCCCGAGCGUUGUCCGGAUUUAUUGGGCGUAAAGCGAGCGCAGGUGGUUUAAUAAGUCUGAUGUAAAAGGCAGUGGCUCAACCAUUGUGUGCAUUGGAAACUGUUAGACUUGAGUGCAGUAGAGGAGAGUGGAAUUCUAUGUGUAGCGGUGAAAUGCGUAGAUAUAUGGAGGAACACCGGUGGCGAAAGCGGCUCUCUGGACUGUCACUGACACUGAGGCUCGAAAGCGUGGGUAGCAAACAGG
rnacentral:rRNA from 1 species